GAUGAACGCUGGCGGCGUGCCUAAUACAUGCAAGUCGAACGAAACUUCUUUAUCACCGAGUGCUUGCACUCACCGAUAAAGAGUUGAGUGGCGAACGGGUGAGUAACACGUGGGCAAUCUGCCCAAAAGAGGGGGAUAACACUUGGAAACAGGUGCUAAUACCGCAUAACCAUAGUUACCGCAUGGUAACUAUGUAAAAGGUGGCUAUACUACCGCUUUUGGAUGGGCCCGCGGCGCAUUAGCUAGUUGGUAGGGUAAAGGCUUACCAAGGCAAUGAUGCGUAGCCGAAUUGAGAGGUUGAUCGGCCACAUUGGGACUGAGACACGGCCCAAACUCCUACGGGAGGCAGCAGUAGGGAAUCUUCCACAAUGGGCGAAAGCCUGAUGGAGCAACGCCGCGUGGGUGAAGAAGGUCUUCGGAUCGUAAAACCCUGUUGUUAGAGAAGAAAGUGCGUGAGAGUAACUGUUCACGUUUCGACGGUAUCUAACCAGAAAGCCACGGCUAACUACGUG
rnacentral:rRNA from 1 species